rnacentral:lncRNA from 1 species
CCAGCAUCCAUUGUGGACCAUGAGGCAAUCUUGAGAAUGGAAACCAUACAAUACAAUAGUCAAAGAGGAAAGGUUGGAUCGAUCAGUGAAGUUUCACAGAAGUUGUGACAUUUGGGUUGGAUCUUGAAAGAUAAUGGGAGCUUUGAAGGUGAAUGAAAAAAGAAGUGGAAGAACAUUCCUGGUAGAUGGAACAGCAUAUGCCAAAGC